rnacentral:rRNA from 1 species
GUUGUAUGGUUAAGUGACUAAGCGUACACGGUGGAUGCCUUGGCAGUCAGAGGCGAUGAAAGACGUAGUAACUUGCGAUAAGCCCAGAUUAGGUAGUAACAACCAUUUGAGUCUGGGAUUUCUGAAUGGGGAAACCCACGUGCAUAAGCACGUAUCCUUACCUGAAUACAUAGGGUAAGGAGGCGAACCGGGGGAACUGAAACAUCUAAGUACCCCGAGGAAAAGAAAUCAACCGAGAUUCCGAAAGUAGCGGCGAGCGAAAUUGGACUAGCCCUUAAGCUUUACACGCGUUAGACGAACGGUCUGGAAAGUCCGACGAUACAGGGUGAUAGUCCCGUAGUUGACGACGUGUGUUCAGUGAAAUCGAGUAGGGCGGGACACGUGAUAUCCUGUCUGAAUAUGGGGGGACCAUCCUCCAAGGCUAAAUACUACUGACUGACCGAUAGUGAACCAGUACCGUGAGGGAAAGGCGAAAAGAACCCCUGUGAGGGGAGUGAAAUAGAACCUGAAACCGUGUACGUACAAGCAGUAGGAGCAGGCUUUGUCCUGUGACUGCGUACCUUUUGUAUAAUGGGUCAGCGACUUAUAUUCAGUGGCAAGGUUAACCAUCUAGGGGAGCCGUAGGGAAACCGAGUCUUAACUGGGCGUUCAGUCUCUGGAUAUAGACCCGAAACCAGGUGAUCUAGCCAUGGGCAGGUUGAAGGUUGAGUAACAUCAACUGGAGGACCGAACCGACUAAUGUUGAAAAAUUAGCGGAUGACUUGUGGCUAGGGGUGAAAGGCCAAUCAAACCUGGAGAUAGCUGGUUCUCCCCGAAAGCUAUUUAGGUAGCGCCUCGGACGAAUACUACUGGGGGUAGAGCACUGUUAAGGCUAGGGGGUCAUCCCGACUUACCAACCCUUUGCAAACUCCGAAUACCAGUAAGUACUAUCCGGGAGACACACGGCGGGUGCUAACGUCCGUCGUGGAGAGGGAAACAACCCAGACCGCCAGCUAAGGUCCCAAAUUACUACUAAGUGGGAAACGAUGUGGGAAGGCUCAGACAGCCAGGAUGUUGGCUUAGAAGCAGCCAUCAUUUAAAGAAAGCGUAAUAGCUCACUGGUCGAGUCGGCCUGCGCGGAAGAUGUAACGGGGCUAAGUAGUAAACCGAAGCUGCGGCAAUGUGCUUUUGCACAUUGGGUAGGGGAGCGUUCUGUAAGCGGUUGAAGGUGUGUGGUAACGCAUGCUGGACGUAUCAGAAGUGCGAAUGCUGACAUGAGUAACGAUAAAGGGGGUGAAAAACCUCCUCGCCGGAAGACCAAGGGUUCCUGUCCAACGUUAAUCGGGGCAGGGUAAGUCGACCCCUAAGGCGAGGCCGAAAGGCGUAGUCGAUGGGAAACGGGUUAAUAUUCCCGUACUUCUUACAAUUGCGAUGGGGGGACGGAGAAGGCUAGGUGGGCCUGGCGACGGUUGUCCAGGUUCAAGUGCGUAGGCUUAAGAGUUAGGUAAAUCCGGCUCUUUUUAAGGCUGAGACACGACGUCGAGCACCUACGGGUGUGAAGUCAUUGAUGCCAUGCUUCCAGGAAAAGCCUCUAAGCUUCAGAUUGUAAGGAAUCGUACCCCAAACCGACACAGGUGGUCGGGUAGAGAAUACCAAGGCGCUUGAGAGAACUCGGGUGAAGGAACUAGGCAAAAUGGUACCGUAACUUCGGGAGAAGGUACGCUCUUGAUGGUGAAGUCCCUUGCGGAUGGAGCUGACGAGAGUCGCAGAUACCAGGUGGCUGCAACUGUUUAUUAAAAACACAGCACUGUGCAAAAUCGUAAGAUGACGUAUACGGUGUGACGCCUGCCCGGUGCCGGAAGGUUAAUUGAUGGGGUUAGACUUCGGUCGAAGCUCUUGAUCGAAGCCCCGGUAAACGGCGGCCGUAACUAUAACGGUCCUAAGGUAGCGAAAUUCCUUGUCGGGUAAGUUCCGACCUGCACGAAUGGCGUAAUGAUGGCCACGCUGUCUCCACCCGAGACUCAGUGAAAUUGAAAUCGCUGUGAAGAUGCAGUGUACCCGCGGCUAGACGGAAAGACCCCGUGAACCUUUACUACAGCUUGGCACUGAACAUUGACCCUACAUGUGUAGGAUAGGUGGGAGGCUUUGAAGCAGGUACGCCAGUAUCUGUGGAGCCGUCCUUGAAAUACCACCCUUGUAGUGUUGAUGUUCUAACGUCGACCCCUUAUCGGGGUUGCGGACAGUGCCUGGUGGGUAGUUUGACUGGGGCGGUCUCCUCCCAAAGAGUAACGGAGGAGCACGAAGGUGGGCUAAUCACGGUUGGACAUCGUGAGGUUAGUGCAAUGGCAUAAGCCCGCUUGACUGCGAGAAUGACAAUUCGAGCAGGUGCGAAAGCAGGUCAUAGUGAUCCGGUGGUUCUGAAUGGAAGGGCCAUCGCUCAACGGAUAAAAGGUACUCCGGGGAUAACAGGCUGAUACCGCCCAAGAGUUCAUAUCGACGGCGGUGUUUGGCACCUCGAUGUCGGCUCAUCACAUCCUGGGGCUGAAGUCGGUCCCAAGGGUAUGGCUGUUCGCCAUUUAAAGUGGUACGCGAGCUGGGUUUAGAACGUCGUGAGACAGUUCGGUCCCUAUCUGCCGUGGGCGUUGGAAGAUUGAAGGGGGCUGCUCCUAGUACGAGAGGACCGGAGUGGACGAACCUCUGGUGUUCGGGUUGUGUCGCCAGACGCAUUGCCCGGUAGCUAAGUUCGGAAUCGAUAACCGCUGAAAGCAUCUAAGCGGGAAGCGAGCCCUGAGAUGAGUCUUCCCUGAUACUUUAAGUAUCCUAAAGGGUUGUCGGAGACUACGACGUUGAUAGGUCAGGUGUGUAAGUGCUGUGAGGCAUUGAGCUAACUGAUACUAAUUGCCCGUGAGGCUUAACCAUACAACACCCAAGGGGUUU